rnacentral:rRNA from 1 species
CUACGGAGGGUGCAAGCGUUAAUCGGAAUUACUGGGCGUAAAGCGUACGUAGGCGGUUCGUUAAGUUAGAUGUGAAAGCCCCGGGCUUAACCUGGGAACUGCAUUUAAAACUGGCGAACUAGAGUUGAGUAGAGGGGAGUGGAAUUUCAGGUGUAGCGGUGAAAUGCGUAGAGAUCUGAAGGAACACCAGUGGCGAAGGCGACUCCCUGGACUCAAACUGACGCUGAGGUACGAAAGCGUGGGUAGCAAACGGGAUUAGAAACCCCAGUAGUCC